rnacentral:rRNA from 1 species
UACUUGGUGUGAAUUGCAGAAUCCCGUGAACCAUCGAGUCUUUGAACGCAAGUUGCGCCUGAAGCCAUUAGGUUGAAGGCACGUCUGCCUGGGCGUCACGC